rnacentral:tRNA from 1 species
GCCGAGAUCGCAUAACCUGGUAUUGCGCGGGCCUUGAGAGCCCGUUUCCUUACGGAUAUCUGGGUUCAAAUCCCAGUCUCGGCG